rnacentral:rRNA from 1 species
AACGAACGCUGGCGGCGUGCCUAACACAUGCAAGUCGAGCGCGAAAGUCCCUUCGGGGGCGAGUAGAGCGGCGGACGGGUGAGUAGUACAUGGAUAAUCUGCCCUCGAGAUCGGGAUAACCCUGCGAAAGUGGGGCUAAUACCGAAUAAGACCACACAACACAAGUUGUGUGGUAAAAGGUGGCUUGAAUUUAUUCUGGCUAUCACUUGAGGAUGAGUCCAUGGCCUAUCAGCUUGUUGGUGGGAUAAUGGCCUACCAAGGCUAUGACAGGUAGCUGGUCUGAGAGGACGACCAGCCACACUGGGACUGAGACACGGCCCAGACUCCUACGGGAGGCAGCAGUGGGGAAUAUUGGGCAAUGGGCGAAAGCCUGACCCAGCGACGCCGCGUGGGUGAUGAAGGCCUUCGGUUGUAAACGUGCUUUUGUUACGGUAACGGAAAAGAACGUACUUUCUUAACUAAAGAAGGGUACCGAUGACGGUACCGUAAGAAUAAGACACCGGCUAACUACGUAGCCACG